GCAGGGCGUGGUGGUGCAUGCCUGUAGUCCCAGCUACUUGGGAGGCUGAGAGGGGAGGAUUGCUUGAGCCCAGGAGUUCAAGGCUGCAGUGAACUGCAGCCACUGCACUCUAGCUUGAGUGACAGAGCAAGACCCUCUUU
rnacentral:SRP_RNA from 1 species